GGGGAAUUUUCCGCAAUGGGCGAAAGCCUGACGGAGCAAUACCGCGUGAGGGAGGAAGGCUCUUGGGUCGUAAACCUCUUUUCUCAGGGAAGAACACAAUGACGGUACCUGAGGAAUAAGCAUCGGCUAACUCCGUGCCAGCAGCCGCGGUAAUACGGAGGAUGCAAGCGUUAUCCGGAAUGAUUGGGCGUAAAGCGUCCGCAGGUGGCGAUGUAAGUCUGCUGUUAAAGAGUCUAGCUCAACUAGAUAAGAGCAGUGGAAACUACAUAGCUAGAGUACGUUCGGGGCAGAGGGAAUUCCUGGUGUAGCGGUGAAAUGCGUAGAGAUCGGGAAGAACACCAGUGGCGAAGGCGCUCUGCUAGGCCGUAACUGACACUGAGGGACGAAAGCUAGGGGAGCGAAUGGGAUUAGAUACCCCAGUAGUC
rnacentral:rRNA from 1 species